rnacentral:rRNA from 1 species
GAGUUUGAUCCUGGCUCAGAACGAACGCUGGCGGCGUGGAUAAGACAUGCAAGUCGAACGGGACAGUUUUGUAGCAAUACCGAACUGUUCAGUGGCGAACGGGUGCGUAACACGUGGAUAACAUACCGGAAAGCGAGGAAUAGCCCAGGGAAACUUGGAUUAAUACCUCAUGUGGUCGCAAGACUAAAGGCGGGGCAACCUGUCGCUUUCUGAUUGGUCCGCGGCCUAUCAGCUAGUUGGCGGGGUAACGGCCCACCAAGGCGACGACGGGUAGCUGGUCUGAGAGGAUGACCAGCCACACUGGAACUGAGACACGGUCCAGACACCUACGGGUGGCAGCAGUCGAGAAUCAUUCACAAUGGGGGAAACCCUGAUGGUGCGACGCCGCGUGGAGGAUAAGGUCUUCGGAUUGUAAACUCCUGUCAUGCGAGAGCAAGAUUUGUGCAGGUAACUCUGCUGAAUUUGAUAGUAUCGCAAGAGGAAGAGACGGCUAACUCUGUGCCAGCAGCCGCGGUAAUACAGAGGUCUCAAGCGUUGUUCGGAAUCACUGGGCGUAAAGGGUGCGUAGGUGGCGUGGAAAGUCAGAUGUGAAAUCCGGGGGCUCAACCUCCGAAUAGCAUCCGAUACUCCCAUGCUAGAGAACUGGAGGGGGAUCUGGAAUUCUCGGUGUAGCAGUGAAAUGCGUAGAUAUCGAGAGGAACACUAGUGGCGAAGGCGAGAUCCUGGACAGUAUCUGACACUGAUGCACGA